UGACCAGAUCUCCCAGAUCUGUUUACUGUAACCAGUGCCGUGUAGUUGGUGAGUCUCGUCUCCCAUCGUUUUCUCUCUUCUAAUUUUGUCCACCCACAAUUAUUUUGACUUUUUUCUUUAUUUUCCUCCCGCUUUUUCCCGGGUUUUCCUGAAACAAAAAAACUGGAAAUCAUUAGUACUUCCAAUUUUUUUUCUGGAAUCUGGUGGCUAAUGUGGGAUGUUGUCGGACUAGGUUAGGCUGGAGCAGUCAUCCGGUGUGUCGGAAGCGGUACCAUUUCAUCGUGAGAGCAACCGGCGGCGGAAGCAGCACGUCGGAGGGGUUUCAGAAGCUGUGUACCAAAUGCGGGAACUCCCUCCAGCUGUCGGACUGCAGGUGCAAGUGGUGCGACUUUGUGGUUACUUCCGACGAUUUGGAGGAGUGGGUUUAUACCCAGCUUGAAGACAGCACUCACUUGCUUCACGGCGUAGUCCACUCGAAUGGGUUCGGCCACCUUUUGAGGGUCAACGGUAAAGAAGGUGGCUCCCAGGCUCUUACCGGAACUCAUAUCAUGAACUUCUGGGAUAGACUCUGCAGUGCUCUCUCCGUCAGGUUUGUCACCUUUGCUCCUUCCUAUUGCUCAAGCUUGUAUAUGAGAAGUUGUUUAGAGCUGAUCUGAUUUUUUUGAUCUGCACAGGAAGGUAUCGGUCAUGGAUGUUUCAAAGAAGUAUGGUACUGAUUACAGGUUGCUUCAUGCCAUCACUAUGGGACAUUCAUGGUAUGGAAACUGGGGUUAUGAGUUUGGGAACGGAAGCUAUGCCCUGACAUCGGAAGCUUACCAGGGAGUGGUCGAGACUCUUUCAAGUGUGGCUUUAGAUCAACUCUCCUUCCAUGGACGAGGACCACGGUCACGGUUGCAGGCUGCGAUUGCUUUCUACAAGUCGUUGUCCAGCUCUGAGCUUGUGGCACUGAAAGAUCUCUUUGCUU
rnacentral:lncRNA from 1 species